CAGCAGCCGCCACGGUAAUACGUAGGGUGCAAGCGUUAAUCGGAAUUACUGGGCGUAAAGCGUGCGCAGGCGGUUAUAUAAGACAGAUGUGAAAUCCCCGGGCUCAACCUGGGAACUGCAUUUGUGACUGUAUAGCUAGAGUACGGCAGAGGGGGAUGGAAUUCCGCGUGUAGCAGUGAAAUGCGUAGAUAUGCGGAGGAACACCGAUGGCGAAGGCAAUCCCCUGGGCCUGUACUGACGCUCAUGCACGAAAGCGUGGGGAGCAAACAGGAUUAGAUACCCCAGUAGUCCCUGUCUCUUAUAC
rnacentral:rRNA from 1 species